GAAGGCAGCUGCGUCCUGUACCCACGAAACGGGGCAAGAACCCAGUUGGGCCCUGGCCUCUCGUUGAAACCGUGCCCUUUUCUGCCCCCUCUGCCACCCCCUUCCGUUGCCAUGGCAAUGCCCCUGGAGAGUUAGGACCAGGCCCUCUUUUUCUUUCCUGCAUCCCUCCCCACCCACCCCCUCCCCCUUUGUGUCCAGAAGAGCGCUGAGCCCACACGAUUUUCAAGUGAGCAGGAGACUGGAAGAGAUCAAUGGAUGUCAGAAUGGUGUUGUUAACAGAGAAAUGGCCUCUAUAGCUGCAAGGGAUCAAUCUGGACUCCCCAGGGGAGCCAUUUGGGAGGAGCCCUUUGGGCACAGCUGUGGAGAAUUUCACGUCACUGUUGCAAUCAUUUCUUGGCUUUCAAGCGUGUUCCCCUGACACUGACAUCUGAGCGUCAUCCAUGCUCAUUCAUUUGUGCUAUCGCCAAUGAGUACCUUCUCUUCUUUUCACUUUUCUUUCAGAACACAAUAAAUUAUAUUCA